rnacentral:rRNA from 1 species
CCUACGGGAGGCAGCAGUAGGGAAUAUUGCUCAAUGGGGGAAACCCUGAAGCAGCAACGCCGCGUGGAGGAUGAAGGUUUUAGGAUUUUAAACUCCUUUUGUGAGAGAAGAUAAUGACGGUAUCUCACGAAUAAGCACCGGCUAACUCCGUUCCAGCAGCCGCGGUAAUACGGAGGGUGCAAGCGUUACCCGGAAUCACUGGGCGUAAAGAGUGCGCAGGCGGGCUUGUAAGUCAGAUGUGAAAUCCUGUAGCUUAACUACAGAAUUGCAUUUGAAACUAUGAGUCUAGAGUGUGGGAGAGGUAGGUGGAAUUCUUGGUGUAGGGGUAAAAUGCGUAGAUAUCAAGAGGAAUACUCAUUGCGAAGGCGACCUACUGGACCAUUACUGACGCUGAUGCACGAAAGCGUGGGGAGCAAACAGGAUUAGAUACCCGAGUAGUC